rnacentral:rRNA from 1 species
GAUGAGCGCUGGCGGCGUGCCUAAUACAUGCGAGUCGAGCGAACAGACGAGGAGCUUGCUCCUCUGACGUUAGCGGCGGACGGGUGAGUAACACGUGGAUAACCUACCUAUAAGACUGGGAUAACUUCGGGAAACCGGAGCUAAUACCGGAUAAUAUAUUGAACCGCAUGGUUCAAUAGUGAAAGACGGUUUUGCUGUCACUUAUAGAUGGAUCCGCGCCGCAUUAGCUAGUUGGUAAGGUAACGGCUUACCAAGGCAACGAUGCGUAGCCGACCUGAGAGGGGGAUCGGCCACACUGGAACUGAGACACGGUCCAGACUCCUACGGGAGGCAGCAGUAGGGAAUCUUCCGCAAUGGGCGAAAGCCUGACGGAGCAACGCCGCGUGAAUGAUGAAGGUCUUCGGAUCGUAAAACUCUGUUAUUAGGGAAGAACAAAUGUGUAAGUAACUAUGCACGUCUUGACGGUACCUAAUCAGAAAGCCACGGCUAACUACGUG